GAGGGUAUAGCUCAGUGAAAGAGUACAGUGCUUAGUAUGCACAGGGUCCUGGGUUCAAUCCCCAGUACCUCCC
rnacentral:tRNA from 1 species